GACGAACGCGGCGGCGUGCUUAACACAUGCAAGUCGAACGAAGAGCGAUGGAAGCUUGCUUCUACCAAUCUUAGUGGCGAACGGGUGAGUAACGCGUAAUCAACCUGCCCUUCAGAGGGGGACAACAGUCGGAAACGACUGCUAAUACCGCAUACGAUCUAACCUCGGCAUCGAGGAAAGAUGAAAGGUGGCCUCUAUGUAUAAGCUAUCACUGAAGGAGGGGAUUGCGUCUGAUUAGCUAGUUGGAGGGGUAACGGCCCACCAAGGCGAUGAUCAGUAGCCGGUCUGAGAGGACGAACGGCCACAUUGGGACUGAGACACGGCCCAGACUCCUACGGGAGGCAGCAGUGGGGAAUCUUCCGCAAUGGACGAAAGUCUGACGGAGCAACGCCGCGUGAGUGAUGACGGCCUUCGGGUUGUAAAGCUCUGUUAAUCGGGACGAAAGGCCUUCUUGCGAAUAGUAGAAGGA
rnacentral:rRNA from 1 species